rnacentral:rRNA from 1 species
AAAGCACUUUCGACGGGGACGAUGAUGACGGUACCCGUAGAAGAAGCCCCGGCUAACUUCGUGCCAGCAGCCGCGGUAAUACGAAGGGGGCUAGCGUUGCUCGGAAUGACUGGGCGUAAAGGGCGCGUAGGCGGUUUGGACAGUCAGAUGUGAAAUUCCUGGGCUUAACCUGGGGGCUGCAUUUGAUACGUCCAGACUAGAGUGUGAGAGAGGGUUGUGGAAUUCCCAGUGUAGAGGUGAAAUUCGUAGAUAUUGGGAAGAACACCGGUGGCGAAGGCGGCAACCUGGCUCAUAACUGACGCUGAGGCGCGAAAGCUUGGGGAGCAAACAGGAUUAGAUACCCUGGUAGUCCACCCUGUAAACGAUGUGUGCUGGAUGUUGGGUGACUUAGUCAUUCAGUGUCGUAGUUAACGCGAUAAGCACACCGCCUGGG